UUUCGCUUGUGUCUCUAUUCGUGCGAUAUAUUUUUUUAAAGGAGGGUCGAGAGAAAAAGGCAGAGAGAGAGAGAGAGAGAAUCGGUAUGCGUAUUAAUAUUUUCUGGAUUAGUCUGAUGAUGUUCGCUACGAUCGCAGCCUUUUGGAAGACGGGGAACCGUGCGACAGCCGUAUCUCUGCCAAUCGGUGAUACUCAUCGCGACGUUUACAUCAUCCUCCGUCCACGAAAAAAAAAGAAGUUUCACUUCGUGAAAAUCAGGCCACGAAAAGCACUGGUCCACGAGAUUUAUCUAAACUUUUAAGCACUUUCCUCGUCCGUACCAAAAAAGUAAUGUAGGAUGAGAAAGAGGGAAAAAUUCGCAACGUCUCUUUUUUUCUUUCUUCUUCUUCUUUUCCCUCAAGUGCCAAAGAUCCAACGGUUGAAACGAAUUUGUUCUAAACAAUAUCUGGAUGGUUGGUUACGAAGGUGAAAAGAAAAUUGUACCGCCGUGAAAAGGAUAUUGAUACCUGGGAUUCUACGAGAAAGACGGAUAUCGAUGGGAAAAAAAGAAAUUCGAUUGCGCGUUCGACCGCAGCCGCAAUUAUUCUUCAUUUACGAAGAAGAGAAGGAGGAGGAGGAGGAGGAGGAGGAGGAGGAGGAGGAGAAGGAGAAACGUGGUACCUACGUACGUGUCUCGAGAAUGACUUUGUAGAACGAGGAAAGGAACAUUUUUUUCGUCGAAUACAGGAAGAGGAGAGACCAGUCUUCUUUUUCUUUUUACCUUUUUACCCGUGGAAUCAUCCUAGAUUAUAAUCGUCGAUACGAACGUGCAUGCGUCGCGUGUAUGCCUAUACCCGGGAAGGCAACGUCUUACCUUGACCCAGCACUUCCGGCUUUCGCCUCGCACAACUGGCUUUGCGUAAGCUGCUUGCCGCGAUGCGUUUUAUGUUUCUCUCUCUCUCUCUUUCUCUCUCUUUCUCUCUUGUCAGGUGCACGUAGACAAACAAACGUAUCCAAUGUGCGUACUCGUUAAAAUUAUAUCACAACGCUCGUACUACCGCAUUGGUAAGAGCAGUCUUGCUCGUCGGGGAUCAGAUCGUGAUAAAAGUGAGAAAGCGAUAUCGCCUAAUUAAAACGAGUCGUUGUUGUUAAGUCGAAAUAAAUCCAACUUUUGUCCACGUUGAUUUCGUCGAGAAUCGCACGACCUACGAGACGCAAAUUUCAUCCUUCGCACGGUCGCCAAUAACAUCGGUCACGCUGCAAACUCGUCGCGCGACGAGCCAGACAGACGUUCUGCUUCGAUCCGGUUAGACGUGUUGCGAAACAGGUGCGAAUUUCCGUUCGGAUAUUUAUUAAUUUCCGGCCUUUGCGAUCCACCCUCGUUUCCGCGUAGUAAUUAAAUCUCUGCCAAAUUUAUGUCGCGACUCGGAAGGAAACGAUUCGUUGGCCUCAUUUUUCUUUUUUUUUUUUUCUACGUCAGCCUGACAAGAAUGAACGUUCCCCUUUUAUCCUCGUAUUUAUCGCGAAAUAAUGAAUGCGAAAAAUUAUAUUCAUCAACAACCGAACCAGCACGUAAGUAUCCACGCGCUUUAAAACGUUUCUGCGUAGCGGCUAUCCAAGUCACUUUCUUUGCUUCUUUGGCGCAAAGGGACGAAUAAACGAAUUGGCCUAGUUCGAUUACUCUUUGAUCGAUUGCGGAAUGACAAUAACGUUAAAUUUACUUUAUCCGGAUUAGCAGACCAAUUUUCAAUCUGUGGAGAGGGACGUUGGUAGAUGGAUUUUUCUCUUUGGUAGAUGCAACUAUAAGUCGCGUCUCAUCUUACGUACGUCGAUCGUACGAUUUCCGCGUGCAAUCUUAAGGUUUCUCGCGGAAACCUUGCUACGCCGUACGAAAGAAUGGCAAUUUCUCUCUCUCUCUCUCUCUUUCUCUCUGUCUAAAACUCUCUUUCGGAGCAAGGUACCUUUUUCCUUUAAUUUCCAGACGUUCGCGAUAUCGUGAAAAGUCGAAAAGAGACGCAUCUCGCAUGGGAAUUCGUUUUUUUUCUUACGGCAACCAUUGAUCUCUAUCACACAUAUACAUAUUCGUGUUUAUCCGAGAACUUUGCUUUUCCGUGCGAGCGACCGACCGAGAGACGUCGAUCUCGAGCACGAAUGAAAACGAAUUUGAAUGGGUCGAAUAUUUUUACGUUUUGCUAAAGUAGAAAGAAAGAUCGGAUUUGUUCAACGUUUCGUUUCUAUGAAAAAGAACGAGGAUUUUUUACUUGCCGACUUGUUUCUUUUCUUUUUCUCUCUCUUCCUCUUUUAAAGCUAGAGGGAGAUCGUGUAAAAUACGUUUCUCCCUGGAGGGAAUCGAGUCGGUAGAAAAAUUCCCGCGCGUCUGCUACCGAGAUAGUUGGAUAGAUAGAUAGAUAGAGAGAGAAAGAAAGAAAGAAAGAGAGAGAGAGAGAGAGACAGAGAGAGAGAGAGAGAGAGAGAGAGAGAGAGAGAGACGAAAUAAAUUGUCGUCUGGAGACAAUUUCGCGUGGCCUGGCCGUAGAGUUUUCCGCUGCGAAACGUUGAGUACUUUCGACCGUACGAACUUUACGAGGACAAGUUUCUUCUUUCACGUACGAAUUUAAGUACGCACACGGUCUGAAUCGUGUGCUCGAAAUUGCUCGUAGAAACGAAAAGCGCUAUGUGUACAUACGUAUAAUCCUAGCUCGAUGCGAUGCACUACUCUGUUUUAUGCAAAUGCCACGCCGUCCUUUGGCUCGAUCCUCCUUUCUUUUCUGUUUUUUUUCUUCCCCUCCCCCCGCCUCGAUAAGAAAUCUAAAUCUGGGGAUACUCUUGCGCAUAAAAUAAUGACAUUUUGUUAACUAAACACGUUCGAUCGUUUUACGUAAUUUGGAAUUACGUAGUUGAGAAGAAAGGACGAAGGGAAGAUUAGAAAAGGGAGGAAAUGAAGAGAGUCGUUGACGCAAAGACAGAAAAAAGGAUUUUCAUCGAUCCUUUUUGCCCUUUUUCCCUCGAGUUAUCCAAAGACAUGUGCGUGACACACUUGGCUCUUGCCUGGCAUCUCGACCGCGUCUCGUCGACUAACGUUGGACGACGCGCAACCAUCGCUCUCCAUCGACAUUAUUUGCCCUUUGAUCUUUCUACAUCCUUUUUUUAAUAAUACGAUUCGACGAAUACAUGGACGAUUAAUUUUUAUUUCUUUUAAUCCCAUCUUAUAUUAUAUCAUAUUUCAUUUUUUAUUUUUUGAUGAGGAUUCGAUGGAUCACCGACAAUUUUUGUCUCCGGGCGACGAAAUUUCACACAUAACAAUGUGCCAACUUUAAGCGUCGCGGAUGUUUGAUAACGUCUUUGUAAUUUUACUUCGCAUGUACUACUUGCGAGUCAUAGGAAGAAAAGUAAAUAAAAAAGUCCAACGUCGUAUGAAAUAAUGCGCGGGUAAUUAUCCCAACUAUAUUUGAUAAGGUCGAAAAGGAGGAAAAGGAAAGAUAGAAGAAGCUUUCGACAAAUUGGAUCUCGUCAUUGGAAUCGACCCGGCAUCGCGGGGACUCCUGAAAUUUUUCUCGCGGAAGUUCUUUGUGUCGCGAACUAUGGGAACGAAAACUUGACGCUACGUUGCGCGCAAAAAUAAGGAUUUUAUAUCUCCCUGCUGCAACGCAUAUUAUUACGAAUAUAACAACGAAUUCGCUUCGUCGAAUAUUUUCUUUGGACGAUGAUCGAUGGAUAGAUGGAAGGAAAUAAAAGAAGAAAGGAGAAACGUAAGUUUUCGACCGGACAUUUUGGCGUCGCUGCCAAAAGAUUCGAGCGAAAAGAGAAAAAUACACGUACGCGAAUAAGCCUGGUUUCUUCGUCGUCAUUCUCUUCUCGUUUGUCAUAUAUAGGAGCUCUCGGCGCAAAUGGACACUAUUCCUGUGAAUUUUGGCCUACACGGCCGACGGAGAUUAUUCGAACUCCUCGAUUAUUCGAGGUCUUCGAAGCUCGAUCAUCAUGUGAGUUAGAUUAACAUCUUCGCGCGUUUUUCUAUUAUGUUGAUGUGCCAUAGCCGGGCCAUCGCUAGGACGAGCGAUGAGGCGUACCUCCACGUGGUUCCCCGUGGGCAUAUACCGUAAGGUGCAUGGUGAAAUCAUCCUCUCGGUUCGUCCUCCGGGCGCCUGGGAUUCUUUCAGGCUCUGCACCGGAAGCAUGAUUCGCUAGAAAAGUUUAAUUGCCUAAUACCAUCUUGGCGGCCAAAGCCGAUAUAGGAGAAAUCCUAAGAAGCAGCGCACCCCGUAGGGCCACGAAGGCCAGCAGUAUCUGUAUUAUAUAGGAAAGAAAUUUUGGAAAUGGUAUUUGCACAGGUAGACGGUUCCAACUGAAGGCAAGCAUGACGCUUUCGCUCGGGCUUGGUAUUUACGGUUCAAGAGUUUCAUCCACAAGAGGGUAGGAAAGAGAGAGAGAGAGAGAGAGAGAGAGAGAGAGAGAGAGAGAGAGAGAGAGAGGAACGACAUCGCGCUUGUGAGCUUGCCUCACUGUUUUGUCUAACGAUCAAGACGAGCAUUUUCUGGCGAUUGAAAAAUUCCUUGGCAAUUUCCCUUUUGGUCAAGGGGAAAUUCGAAACUCGCUCGCUUUCGUCCGCUCUCUCGCGGUGGUCGUUGCGUAAGAUCCUGUCGGAGGCGACGAGACGUUUCGUAAAGCGUCACGUUUCACGGUAGACUCGUAAUUGCAUCGUCCGAGAUUGUUCAUUCAUUUUCGCCAACUCCUUUAACGAUACUCUUUACCUUCCGUUUAAUAACUAUUCCAAA